UCACUAUGAUAAUGAUGAUCACGAUGAUGAUGGUCGUCAUCAUCUUCAUCAUCAUGAUCGUUAUCAACAGUU